AAGACCCCAAUGCGUCGCGGAUGCGGCGUCUCCAACGCGACCCCC
rnacentral:rRNA from 1 species